AGUCUUCCUUCUGCCUGAAUCCUGACGUGUUCUGUAUGUGUUUCUUCUGCACACUGAUGUUUGAAAACUGUGGCUUAAUGACUUUUCCAGAACAUGGAACUUUAAAGAAACUAUUUGAUGCCUAUAUUUUCCCCCAAUACAGUCACAUAUCCACUCAAAAUUUGCAAUAUCGUAGUUCCUAUAUUGCUGUUAUAUCUUUGGAAAUCGGGUUCAGAAUACUUUUUAUGACAAAAAAAAAUUGGGUAGAGGGGACAACUUUCCUAUCUGGGUCAACAUCUCAGGAAAAUCUGUGAUUAUUUAUUUGCUCUAAUUAGUAAGAUUAACUUAAUUAGCCUUAGGGGUGGAAUAACAGGGCCACUUAGCAAACUCAGGUGAUCCCAGGAUGGUUGGGAAACCUCUCUUGAAUACACCCUUACCUUCUAUUCAAGCUGUCCUCUGCACUGCAGUGCUUAUGGAGCUAAGAGAUUCAACCCAAGAAAGACAUCAAACUCUGAUUCCCUGAAACCAAAUCAAAGGGCACUUACCUAUCCAUGACAGGACCUUCACAGUCCCUUCACGGAUCGGUUCAUUUUAAGCAGGUAUCACAACUAAACACUGAUACUGUCUUGAAAGAACUUAAUAGAGAGUUGAGCCACGUGGAAUUUCAGUCUCGAAACAAGUUAGAUUUUAAGUUCCAUUUUUAUAGUCCACAGUUCAUCCACCAGACAAUAUUUUGUUUUUCAAUUUUGAGCCAGGUUAACAAUUAAUUGACUUGUGGAAAAAUUAUUGGGUCCUCAGCCGUUACGUAGGAAGAAGCUUAUUUGAAGUUGUCGUACGUACUUGAAGUUGUUUCUAAGAUUUUUUUUUAUAUUACAAAUGGACAUUGUUUCUUAAUUAUCUAAAAUUCUAAAUGGUUAUUUUUUUCUCAAGAUGAUUUGUAAAUAGCUAAUGGAUCUGUUGUAUGGUAAUCAGAGUGUAUAUUAUGCUACGUCAGAGAAAGGAGAAGGCGUAUGCUUCUUCUGCUAUGAAAAAUUCCACUGGCCAGUGAAGAUUCUUUACUCCAUGUUUAUACUGUGACAAUCUCAUUGUCUACACUAUAUAAAUAAGCUUUACACUAAGUCAUUUUUUCUUGGUCAUGGUGAAAGGGCUGGAGCCUUAGAAAUCUAUCGUGGGAUGCUGGUGUCCUCAGUUGGAGGCAGUCGUCUUACAAUGCAACAGCACUUAGGUCAGGGAAAAUGUCCAGGGCCAGCAUCGCUAUGCUUUGUUUUGUUUCAUUUCUGUUGGAAUGAGAAUAUGUAAUGCAAAAAUAAACAGGACUAUAAAGAAUGUUGUUCUGACUUACUAGAGAAUAUCCCUCAUGUUUUGUUUAGAGAAAUCUUAAAGAAGAGAAAGGGCAUACAUCCACAAAUUCACUGUGUGUGCAUAUGUAGGUUCACAUAUGCACAGACACAGUUUCAAGGACUGUUUUCGAUAUGUGGGCAGUUUCUUCCUAAUAAAGUCAUCUGUGAAUGGGUACCACAGCUCUCAUUGACAUCAGUAAGGUAGCAUUACCUGUUUAUUCUCUGCCACAUCUUACAGAAGAAUAAACUGGUGAGAGUAUAUAUUUUAUAUAUAUAUAUAAAUGUGUAUAUAUAUAUAUAUUGACUUGUUACAUGAAGAUGUUAAAAUUGGUUUUUAAAGGUGAUGUAAAUAAUGAUUUCCUUAAUGAAAAAAAUACAUAUUUUGUAUUGUUCUAAUGCAACAGAAAAACCUUUUAAUUUCUUUGGUUCCUGUAUAUUCCAUGUAUUAAGUGUAAAUAUAAUCAGACAGGUUUAAAAACAUGUGCAUGUAUGUAUACAGUUGCAAGUCUGGACAAAUGUAUAAAAUAAACCUUUUAUUUAAGUUUGAUUACCUGCUGCAUGACAAGUGCAUGGGAAACCCUGUGCAUCCGUGCAUUUGACAGAAAAUGUCUUAAGUCAGAUCAGAUGGUCGUCCACAAACGACAGUAUUCCAUUUCUGGACAUGACCUCUGCGGCUUAUGAUUUGUGAGAAAAUGUGCUUUGAAUCCAAGGGUCUUGUUUUUUUCUUUUUAAUCAACCACUUUCAACAUAAAGAACUCACAUAGCGACUUCACAAAUCGUAAAAUCCCACUGAAAACAUAACCAGGAACAGUUCAUUGUUCCUAAAUGCUGGAGUACAGGCACAUUACCAUUCAUGGUAAGAGUCUUGGGGUUUACAGCCAGUUUUGAUGCAAUCUGCUUAGUGAUAUAAUUUGCCAUUUUUAUUAUUAAAAUUUGAUUUCUUUAUGUGAUGUCAUGAAUUGUACAUACUACAGUGUGAAUUUUUUUUUGUUUUUUUUUUUAAAUCCUUUAGUGUUUACUUCCUGCAGUGAAUUGAAUAAAUGAGAAAAAAUGCAUUGUCUCUAACUUUGAAACGACUUAUUUUUGUGGGCUUUCUCUGGUUUUUAGGUUUUUCCAUUAAUGUUAAAGUUCAAGGUCAUAAAGAGAAAAGGGAAAAGCAAUAGAUCAUGUAUUUUGUCUGUUUCAGAAAAAUGAAAGGGGGAGAAAGAAGCAACUGACCAGCAAGUUAGUAUAUUUAGAAACGUGUAAUUAAAGCAUAGCUCAACAUGACAGCUGGCCUGUGGUCUGUCUUCCAUUUCUCAGUAUGUAACUGAAUGACCACUACAUGUUUUUUUUAAACUGGAGUUUGUACAGUGUUCCAAAAUAAAGUUAAUUAGAUAUAUA
rnacentral:lncRNA from 1 species